rnacentral:rRNA from 1 species
CCUACGGGCGGCAGCAGUGGGGGAUAUUGCACAAUGGGGGAAACCCUGAUGCAGCGACGCCGCGUGGGUGAAGAAGGGCCUCGGCGCGUAAAGCCCUGUCAGCAGGGAAGAAAAUGACGGGACCUGAAGAAGAAGCCCCGGCGAACUACGGGCCAGCAGCCGCGGUAAUACGUAGGGGGCAAGCGUUAUCCGGAUUUACUGGGUGUAAAGGGGGCGCAGACGGCGCUGCAAGCCAGGAGUGAAAGCCCGGGGCCCAACCCCGGGACUGCUCUUGGAACUGCGUGGCUAGAGUGCAGGAGGGGCAGGCGGAAUUCCUGGUGUAGCGGUGAAAUGCGUCGAUAUCAGGAGGAACACCGGUGGCGAAGGCGGCCUGCUGGACUGCAACUGACGUUGAGGCCCGAAAGCGUGGGGAGCAAACAGGAUUAGAUACCCGAGUAGUC